UGUCGGCUUUGUGGAACGUCUUGGCUGCAGUCACUUUAAAGUUGCGUCGGCUGCUGUGAAUGAAACUUGAUCGGCGAUGACGAGACUGGUGAAUGUUUUCGUGCCAUUUUCUUGCGGAUUGCAAUCAGAUAUGAAAACUCUUCGCUAUUUCUCCUGAGACCAGAAAAGGCGCGAGAAGAUAAAAUGAACCUGGAUCGUUUGAUGGUUUAGUAAAAUCGCAAUAGACGUUUACGAUUUUGUUGCUUUCCAUGAUGGAAAACAAUCCGCUUUUCUUGUGGCCAAUUUGCUGGAGGUCGCCGCAUGAGCCGGGCAUUCUGCCGAUGGAUGAGGCGGCCGUACUCACUGCCAAAUAUUUUUAUGGUUAGUUGAAGACCUGUUAAUCAACUCAUUUUAGUUGAGUUGACAUUUGGACAACUUCUUUCACUUUCGACCUGCUCAGAACUUUGUCUUUUAUCCAUGGAAGGAGAUGAUCUAUACCCGUGUCAAGGUGACUGUGAAAAAUGAACUGAUUACAAAUUCAAAUCUCGUGUAAAGUCACCAAGUCUCUAUAUAGAAAGAAAACCGAAGGCGGCGAUUCUCCAAGUAUGGACUUGAGUGAACCAGUUCAGUUCAUCCGAGUUCAUCUGGUACGAAGCUGAUGCUAUCAACGUUGUUGAAGACGACAAGAAGUUGGUCGAUGGCUUCCUCACAGCACAUGUGAGGCCCAGUGGUUGGCCGUCGUUAUUGAGGUUCGUUUUUUGUUUUAAUUGUUCUUUAAUGAAAUUUGAUUUGUCUCAAGAGCAGGUUGAGAAAGGUCCAGCAUUUGGUUUGCGUCGAGGAGAAAUUAUACGUCAGGAUGAACUUUUCUAAUAAAUUGACGCUGACAAUUCCGAGCUGCCCGGCGCCAUUCUGCAGAGACAGACGUCAUCCGCCAGCAGUUUGCCUAUCAACUGCGGCGCCAGCAGCGAACACGAAUGGCCCGACAGCAUUAAACAAUUCCAGUUUCCUUUUAUUAAUUAUACUUUCGUUUUAAUUGUCGACUCUGUUUCUAUUUUUCAGCUUCGUCGCCCGUCCCGACCCAACCGAUGGAAGGGGAGAAUCCAUCGCUGGAACAACCAGACCAGCAACAAACAACGGAGCUGUUGCAGACGAGCCGGAGCUAUUCGAGUAUGAACGAAAUCGUUAUGAAAUGAUCAACGUCGAAAGUGAGGAAGAGCGCCAUCCAGCAGCAGACGCAAACGCUCAAGGCUAGCGAGGUGAUCCCCAGCCAAUAGCCGGGCAAGAAAUCUCGCCACGUCCUGAAAGAAGGGUUGGAUUAUUUAAAUCUCAAACUGGACGGAUUUGAUUUGCGCGAGGGUCCCGCCGCCAGGGUCGGGGCAAUUUAAAUCACAGGCUGAAGUCAGCUGUGUGGAUGAUUUCCAAAUUAGGUUUUAAACGACAGUCAUAUUUUUUCAGAUGAUGCUAGUGUAAUCGACAUUCCAAUCGGCCCCUCCUUCUUAUACCCUCCUGUUUACACAUAAUCAAAUGCAUUUUUCUUUUUUUUUUAAAUCUGAUUAUUAUAUUUUAGAGAGAAUUUGACUUGGGGCAGAGUUGACUGUAUACUUGUGCAGCCUUCCCCCCAUGACCCGUCAGACGACAAGAAAUGAAAACAAGAAAUUCUAUUGAUGAUUCCAUUAUUUCUGUACACACAUUUGACUCCUCCCACUAUUUGCUUUUGCAACCCCAUUCAACGACGAUAAGAACCGCGCCGUUGCUUUUUUUCUUUUCCGUGUUCAUUCUGUUUAAUUUCGUGUUUCCUU
rnacentral:lncRNA from 1 species